GACUANGCCAUGCAAGUCGAAUGGAACAGCUUUGUUCCAUGGCGAACUGCUCAGUAACAAGUGAUUAACUUACCCUUCAGAGGAGAAUAACCUCGGGAAACUGAGGCUAAUACACCAUAGUUGGAAAUUCCUGGAAUGGUUUUCCAUCGAAAGAUAUUCCUAAAUGUAGGAUGUUCACUGAAGGAUAGGAUCGCUUUCGAUUACGGUAGUUGGUGAGGUAAUGGCUCACCAAGCCUAUGAUCGAUAAGGGCCGUGAGAGCGGUAGCCCUGAGAUGGAUACUGAGACAAUGAUCCAGGCCUUACGAGGCGCAGCAGGCGCGAAACCUUUACAAUGCACGAAAGUGUGAUAAGGUUACCCGGAGUGCCAAGAGAAAGACUUUUGGCUGUUAUAGAUGUGUAAAUAACUCUAUGAGAAAGGAGAGGGCAAGGCUGGUGCCAGCCGCCGCGGUAAAACCAGCUCUUCAAGUGGUCGGGAAUUUUAUUGGGCUUAAAGUGUCCGUAGCCGGUUUGAUAAGUUCCUGGUUAAAUCUGACAGCUUAACUGUCAGUCGGCUAGGAAUACUAUCUUACUCGAGGGUGGGAAAAGUUUGGGGUACUCCAGGGGUAGCGGUGAAAUGCGAUAAUCCUUGGGGGACCACCAGUGGCGAAGGCGCCAGACUGGAACACGCCUGACGGUGAGGGACGAAAGCCAGGGGAGCGAACGGGAUUAGAUACCCGGUAGUCCUGGCUGUAACGAUGCGUGCUGGGUGUUGGUAGGGCUAUGAGCCGUAUCAGUGCCGUAGGNAACUGUUANGCNCCCGCCUGGGAAGUCNCUCNCAGAGUGAACUNAAGAAUNGGCGGGGACNCCCAGGGGGAGCUGCGU
rnacentral:rRNA from 1 species